rnacentral:lncRNA from 1 species
AUCAGAAUCAUACUUUAAAGCACCAUAUUCAUAUCAUACAAAAAAAUGAGGGAACCUCACUUUCAUACUAAAAAUCAUUAGCAAAAACAACUCCGAUGAGAGAACAUCAGAGUCAAAAACUAAUCACAUUCCUACACCAUAUCAGAAUAACCAUACUCUAACAUACAUAUUGCUGCUAAAUUCACAAAAUCAUUCCAAAAAUUGUAGGCUGAAAAAAGUAAUACACAACUGCAGCAACAUACGCAAAACUGAAAUCACAAGCCAAAACACAAACAAC